AUAAAUAAAACUCUGUAUGUACACUCUACGUACUUGCAGGGCGCUGGUAUGUGGGCAUCACGUAUAAGGGGGUGUUUAAAACGUAUUGCAUCUCAGUUUUGCAUCAAUGUUUAGGCAGUCAACUUGUUCUGGGUACUGAUCGAGAAUUUCCGCUUAGUUGACUCCUGGCUUGUUCUACCCCUCGCUGUGUGUAAAACGUAUUGCAGCUCAGUUUUGCAUCAAUGUUUAGGCAGUCAAGUUGUUCUGGGUACGAGUCGAGAAUUUCCGCUUAGUUGACUCCUGGCUUGUUCUACCCCUCGCUGUGUGUAAAACGUAUUGCAGCUCAGUUUUGCGUCACUAUGUUUAAGCAGUCAACUUGUUCUGGGUACGAGUCGAGAAUUACCGCUAAGUUGACUCCUGGUUUGUUCUACCCCUCGCUGUGUUUAAAACGUAUUGCAGCUCAGUUUUGCGUCACUAUGUUUAAGCAGUCAACUUGUUCUGGGUACGAGUCGAGAAUUUCCGCUUAGUUGACUCCUGGCUUGUUCUACCCCUCGCUGUGUGUAAAACGUAUUGCAGCUCAGUUUUGCGUCACUAUGUUUAGGCAGUCAACUUGUUCUGGGUACUGAGUCAAGAAUUUCCGCUUACCUAGUUGACUCCUGGCUUGUUCUACCCCUGACUGGUGCCUCUAAUGUGACGUACCACACCAUACACUCCACACGUCACGAUAUAUACAUGCUUGGGUAUUGAAACAGCUAGAGCAAUUCCAAUAAGUCAAGGCUUGCUCUGUCCCUCACUGGUGCCUCUCGGAUGAUCUACCACACCAUACACUCCACACAUCACUGUAUACAUGCUUGGGUAUUGAGACAGCUAGAGGAAUUCCAAUAAGUCAAGGGUUGCUCUGUCCCUCACUGGUGGCUCUUGAAUGAUCUACCACACCAUACACUCCACACAUCAAUAUAUACAUGCUUGGGUAUCGAGACAGCCAGGGAAUUUCCGAUACGUCAACUCAUGGACUAUUCUGCCCCUUAGUGAUCGCUCUCGGACAAUCUACCGUACCAGACACUCCACACAUCUCUACAAGUGUUGCCAAAUUGUCGCACUCAACAUUGCAUUUCUCAUUUUUAGGCUCCAGGACUUUCGUAACCACACAAAUGACGUUAGCAAGUUAGAGUCAGCGUUAGAACUGUUAGAUAUUGAUGUUUUUUUGUUCUUUUUGUGGUAGUUACCAGUCAGAAAUGAUGAAAAUGUAAUGCGCCGAGGAUGAUGAUUUUGCAACGCUGAUCCCUACACACACGAUACCCACACACUAGCGCCUCAUAUACUUGCCACGCAACCGAAGGGCCACGACAAAGGAGGACGACGACCACGCUUACUCUGGGGUAUACGAAAAGCUGCCCAUUACAUAGAAAAUACGAGUUCCGAGUCACGCAGGAGUUACAGAGGAAAAAUUGUGGCUUUCUUUCCUUACAUGACUGGAAUAAAAAACGUGGGUGACUCUGCUUUUUCCUUUUUCCUCUAUUUUACUCAUAUGUUUGUUCCUUCAUUCCCUCAUUUCUUUUUCACCUGUCUUAAUUGUGGCGCUCCCUGCUAGUGAGGUAAGCAACAUGCACAAGAAAAUGAGAAAAUAGCCAUUGAAGUUGAGUGUUUCUGCAUUUUUCCUAGACAUAUGUAUGAAAAAAUGACCAUAAUGCAACAACUUCUUUGAAUUUUAGUCUGAAAAGUUGCCUCGGAAUGCCUGAAUAGUUGGCCGAUGCGAGGCAAGUGAUAUCUCGGGAUUGACCUCCAUGUUGCUUACCACAAUUCCAGUGCUUUUCGGUUAUACCCAAAUCUAUUCCUCUCUUUUCUUUUCCACCUGUCCUCAUUCUCACCCUUUCUCUAUUUAACCUACAUUUAUUCCUCUUUUCCUUCCGUUCUUCCCUCUCCACCUCUCUUCAUUCCCACUCGUUCUUUCUUCGCUUCUCCCACACGGCACACAGAGCAAGAUUGAGACCCUUCCCAUCCCAUCCCUGCCUCGGUUCCUUUAUAAGCCUCAAGAACAGUCCGCGAACCCCUAAUGCCGCACGCUUUGAUAGAGGAAAUACGUGUCCAAGUUAUGCGAGAGUUAUGGAGAAAAAAUUGGCUUCUUUACAUCUAUUUGAGACUGAAAAUGGCGCCACUCUAAACACUUGCCUGCGCCAUUUCGGGCUGGGGCCAACUACCAUCCAGGCCCCUCAAGCAAGUCUACCAGCGCUAUGGGCUUAGACGUAAGGAAAAAUAAAUAAAAAAUAAAUAAAUAAAUAAAUAAAUAAAU